UACGUAGGGUGCAAGCGUUGUCCGGAAUUAUUGGGCGUAAAGAGCUCGUAGGCGGUUCGUCGCGUCGGCUGUGAAAUCCCGAGGCUCAACCUCGGGUCUGCAGUCGAUACGGGCGGACUGGAGUUCGGCAGGGGAGACUGGAAUUCCUGGUGUAGCGGUGAAAUGCGCAGAUAUCAGGAGGAACACCGGUGGCGAAGGCGGGUCUCUGGGCCGAUAUCGACGCUGAGGAGCGAAAGCGUGGGGAGCGAACAGG
rnacentral:rRNA from 1 species